UUUCUGGUUCAAAGGACUACUUCGAUAGUGGUACAGACCCCUGACAAAAGAAAUCACCUUUUGUAAAUGUCAUCGCUGCAAAUGAGCAAUGUGACGGGGAACUAGUGAGAUGCCAUUGAGACUGGAACCCACCCCACUGGAGGCAGCUGAGCGAAUUCGUGGAUGACUAAAUGUCGGAAUACUAAGUUAGGAGAGGGGUGCGUGUCAUCCAAGGAAUGACGUGCGCUCACACUGUGCCUCAAGUGACACAGAUCAUAGUAGAUUCCAGCGGAACACUUGCAGCUGUGUUGAGUUCCUCAAACUACCACAAAACUCUUAUGUAGGACGCAAGUGAUCAGAAAGGAAAUCACAUAGUCAGUGACCAGCUGAGACUGAGUACGGACAGGGGAAGAAGCUAACUUAGACCUAAAGGGACCUGGGGUCAGGAGACAUUUCUAGAUAAGCCCCUCAGCCAGAAAACAUCAACCCAUGACUUCCAAUACCAAUGCUGAAGAGGCCACAGAGGAGAGAGAAUCUUGAAAACAUUUCUAAUAUCUGAAA
rnacentral:lncRNA from 10 species